rnacentral:rRNA from 1 species
ACCGUACUCCUACGGGAGGCAGCAGUGGGGAAUUUUGGACAAUGGGGGCAACCCUGAUCCAGCAAUGCCGCGUGAGUGAAGAAGGCCUUCGGGUUGUAAAGCUCUUUUGUCAGGGAAGAAACGGUAGUAGCUAAUAUCUAUUACUAAUGACGGUACCUGAAGAAUAAGCACCGGCUAACUACGUGCCAGCAGCCGCGGUAAUACGUAGGGUGCAAGCGUUAAUCGGAAUUACUGGGCGUAAAGCGUGCGCAGGCGGUUGUGUAAGUCAGAUGUGAAAUCCCCGGGCUCAACCUGGGAAUUGCAUUUGGGACUGCACGGCUAGAGUGUGUCAGAGGGGGUAGAAUUCCACGUGCAGCAGUGAAAUGUGUAGAUAUGUGGGGGAAUACCGAUGGCGAAGGCAGCCCCCUGGGACAACACUGACGCUCAUGCACGAAAGCGUGGGGAGCAAACAGGAUUAGAAACCCCAGUAGUCCUUGAC